rnacentral:rRNA from 1 species
GUGGGGAAUAUUGCACAAUGGGCGAAAGCCUGAUGCAGCGACGCCGCGUGAGGGAUGACGGCCUUCGGGUUGUAAACCUCUUUCAGCAGGGACGAAGCGCAAGUGACGGUACCUGCAGAAGAAGCACCGGCUAACUACGUGCCAGCAGCCGCGGUAAUACGUAGGGUCCGAGCGUUGUCCGGAAUUAUUGGGCGUAAAGGGCUCGUAGGCGGUCCGUCACGUCGGGAGUGAAAACUCAGGGCUCAACCCUGAGCGUGCUUCCGAUACGGGCGGACUAGAGGUAUGCAGGGGAGAACGGAAUUCCUGGUGUAGCGGUGGAAUGCGCAGAUAUCAGGAGGAACACCGGUGGCGAAGGCGGUUCUCUGGGCAUUACCUGACGCUGAGGAGCGAAAGCAUGGGGAGCGAA